UAGGGAAUCUUCCGCAAUGGACGAAAGUCUGACGGAGCGACGCCGCGUGAGCGAAGAAGGUCUUCGGAUCGUAAAGCUCUGUUGUUAGGGAAGAAGAAGUGCCGUUCGAACAGGGCGGCACGGUGACGGUACCUAACGAGAAAGCCCCGGCUAACUACGUGCCAGCAGCCUCGGUAAUACGUAGGGGGCGAGCGUUGUCCGGAAUUAUUGGGCGUAAAGCGCGCGCAGGCGGUCCCUUAAGUCUGAUGUGAAAGCCCACGGCUUAACCGUGGAGGGUCAUUGGAAACUGGGGGGCUUGAGUGCAGAAGAGGAGAGCGGAAUUCCACGUGUAGCGGUGAAAUGCGUAGAGAUGUGGAGGAACACCAGUAGCGAAGGCGGCUCUCUGGUCUGUAAAUGACGAAGAGGCGCGAAAGCGUGGGGAGCGAACAGG
rnacentral:rRNA from 1 species